AUUGAACGCUGGCGGCAGGCCUAACACAUGCAAGUCGAACGAGUGGCGGACGGGUGAGUAAUGUUUGGGAAACUGCCUGCUGGAUGGUGAUAACUACUGGAAACGGUAGCUAAUACCUCAUACCAUCAUAUGUGCCCAGAUUGGUUUAGCUUGUUGGUGGGGUAACGGCUCCCCAAGGCUACGCUCCCUAGCUGGUCUGAGAGGAUGACCAGCCACCCGGGAACGGGGACACGGCCCAGACUCCUACGGGAGGCAGCAGUGGGGAAUAUUGGACAAUGGGCGAAACCCGGAUGCAGACCUGCCGCGUGUAGGAAGAAGGCCUUGGGGGUGUAAAGUACGUUCAGCGGGUAGGCGUUACCCGCAGAAGAAGCACCGGCUAACUCCGUGCCAGCAGCCGCGGUAAUUC
rnacentral:rRNA from 1 species